GCUUUCAUUGGAGGGCAAGUCUGGUGCCAGCAGCCGCGGUAAUUCCAGCUCCAAAAGCGUAUAUUAAAGUUGUUGCAGUUAAAAAGCUCGUAGUUGAACCUUGGGCUUGGCUGGCCGGUCCAUCUUUUUUGAUGCGUACUGGACCCAGCCGAGCCUUUCCUUCUGGCUAGCCUUUUGGCGAACCAGGACUUUUACUUUGAAAAAAUUAGAGUGUUCAAAGCAGGCCUUUGCUCGAAUAUAUUAGCAUGGAAUAAUAGAAUAGGACGUUAUGGUUCUAUUUUGUUGGUUUCUAGGACCAUCGUAAUGAUUAAUAGGGACGGUCGGGGGUAUCAGUAUUCAGUUGUCAGAGGUGAAAUUCUUGGAUUUACUGAAGACUAACUACUGCGAAAGCAUUUACCAAGGACGUUUUCAUUAAUCAAGAACGAAAGUUAGGGGAUCGAAGAUGAUCUAGAUACGGUGCGACUUUUCAGGG
rnacentral:rRNA from 1 species